CUCUUAUCUACAGGCAUUUUAGAACAGCUUCCUCUCUCAGUAACAGCCUGCAUCCAUUCCCGACUCUCUAUACUAUGAAGAGUGAUGUUAUUCGUAUCCGUUUCAAAUGCUUGAACUGCUGGCUCUAUUCCCAAUCCAGUCACAGGUGCAUCGGGCAUAAGCAUGCUAGGAACCAUGGUCUCCUCAGGAAGCACAAUAUUCUCUUCCCAAAACUCAAAAUCCCUCAUUGAUGAGGAUGAGAUGUUAUUCAUCUGGUGUGCUUGCUCUGUUCGUUGUCUAGUCUCGGGUUCAUCUGGCAUAAGAACGACAGGAGCUCUAUGAAGAGUGAUGUUAUUCGUAUCCGUUUCAAAUGCUUGAACUGCUGGCUCUAUUCCCAAUCCAGUCACAGGUGCAUCGGGCAUAAGCAUGCUAGGAACCAUGGUCUCCUCAGACAGGAAAAACUCUCCCCCAGUUAUCCCAUCCAUCCAUGACAGUCCAUCAUCCAAAAGAGAUUGUCCUUGUUGUUGCAUUUCUAAAUCUUGCGCAGGAUCUGAAUCUGCACUUGGCAUGCUCCCACGCAUUCUGCCAGGAAGCUUAUCAAACGCUGCUCGUUGAACAUCUGGAGUUACUUUUUCACAAAUUUUAACACCACCACCUCCAACUCUUGCCAGAUGAUAUUUCAUCCUUGUAGUGGAAGUACUUCCAGCCAAUGUCUUCUCACAAAAAAUGCACUUCAAUAAACCACCAUCCACUUUCUCAAAAUAACUCUGAAAUGGAUCACUUCCUCCAGCCAUUUUUUCUUCUGUGUCCCU
rnacentral:lncRNA from 1 species